GACGAACGCUGGCGGCGUGCCUAAUACAUGCAAGUCGAACGCAGUGGGUACGGGUGAGUAACACGUGCGUAACGUCCCAUCAGAGAGGAUAACACUUGGAAACACGUGAUAAACUGAUACCGAUGUAUGGACACGCUGUGCAUUAGCUAGGGGGUGAGGUAAAGGCCGACCGAGGCCACGAUGCAUAGCCGACCUGAGAGGGGGAUCGGCCACAAUGGGACGGAGACAAGGCCCAGACUCCUACGGGAGGCAGCAGUAGGGAAUCGUCGGCAAUGGACGAAAGUCUGACCGAGCAACGCCGCGUGAGUGAAGAAGGUUUUCGGAUCGUAAAGCUCUGUUGUUAGAGAAGCGGUAACUAACCAGAAAGGGACGGCUAACUACGUGCCAGCAGCCGCGGUAAUAC
rnacentral:rRNA from 1 species